AGCGAACGCUGGCGGCAGGCCUAACACAUGCAAGUCGAACGAACUCUUCGGAGUUAGUGGCGGACGGGUGUGUAACACGUCGGAAGGUGCCUUUUGGCUCGGAAUUACUCAGGGAAACUUGUGCUAAUACCGAAUGAGCUAUUCGGGGGAAAGAUUUAUCGCCAUUAGAGAGGCCCGAGUCUGAUUAGCUAGUUGGUGAGGUAACGGCUCACCACGGCGUCGAUCAGUAGCUGGGCUGAGAGGAAGACCAGCCACACUGGGACUGGGACACGGCCCAGAAUCCUACGCGAGGCAGCAGUGGGGAAUCUUGCGCAAUGGGGGGAGGGCUGACGGAGCCAUGCCGCGUGAAUGAUGUAGGUCUGAGGAUUGUAAAAUUCUUUCACCGGGGACGAUAAUGACGGUACCCGGAGAAGAAGCCCCGGCUAACUUCGUG
rnacentral:rRNA from 1 species